UGAAACUAGUUUAGAUGAUGGUUAAGUUGUUUGGUCUGGGUGCUAAAAAAUUCCUCUUUAUGCGACCGUUCCUGUUUUAAAGAAGAGUUUAAGCUUAGUUAAAGGUCAACAAUGAAUAAAUAUAGCCGUGAAGUCACUGCCAAAGAGCCACCUUCGACCUCUAUAUAUCUUCAACAGGAGCAGAUUGAACGGUUAUUAGAAAAACAAAACGAUGAGAGGAUCGAAGAGUUGUCUGUUACUGUAGGCCGGCUUAAAAAAACUGUUGAAUCCAUGCACACGGAAAUUCAAUCUCACAAUCAUUUUCUUGAGAGUCUUCAACUCGGAUUUCUUAACGCGGACAACUUUAUGGCAAGUAUUAUAACAAAAGUCAACAGCGUUAACCGAAAUACGAAAGGGAAGUU